AGCAUGUUAGGAGGACAACUCUUGAUAAAUUUCUUAUAUCUUUUCCAAGCUUCAUAGAGGGAUUCACCCUCUUUUUGUCUGAAGGUUUGAACUUCCACCCUAAGGUU